GACGAACGCUGGCGGCGUGCUUAACACAUGCAAGUCGAACGAUGAAGCUGGAGCUUGCUCCGGUGGAUUAGUGGCGAACGGGUGAGUAACACGUGAGCAAUCUGCCCUUGACUCUAGGAUAACUGCGGGAAACUGUAGCUAAUACCGGAUACGAGAUUUGGAGGCAUCUCCGGAUCUGGAAAGAAUUUCGGUCAAGGAUGAGCUCGCGGCCUAUCAGAUUGUUGGUGAGGUAAUGGCUCACCAAGGCGACGACGGGUAGCCGGCCUGAGAGGGUGACCGGCCACACUGGGACUGAGACACGGCCCAGACUCCUACGGGAGGCUGCAGUGGGGAAUAUUGCACAAUGGGCGAAAGCCUGAUGCAGCAACGCCGCGUGAGGGAUGAAGGCCUUCGGGUUGUAAACCUCUUUUAGUAGGGAAGAAGCGAAAGUGACGAUACCUACAGAAAAAGCACCGGCUAACUACGUGCCAGCCGCCGCAGUAA
rnacentral:rRNA from 1 species